CAUAACAGGCUCAGUAUGGGGGCCCUUUUAAAUUUCCAUAUUCUUCACCUUGUGUGCAAUGUUUUUUAUUUAACACAUUUAAACGCUUAAAUUUUUUUUUUAAAUUGUCUGAAAUAAAUAUUGUGAAUUUUUUUAAUCCAAAAUA
rnacentral:misc_RNA from 1 species